AGGGCUGUAGCUAAGUUGUAAACCAUCUGCCUUGUAUGCAGAAGGUCCCGGGCUCAAUCCCCAGCAACUCCA